rnacentral:misc_RNA from 1 species
UACAGAGGUCUCAAGCGUUAAGCGGAAUCACUGGGCUUAAAGGGUGCGUAGGCGGGUCUGCAAGUACUUUGUGAAAUCCCACGGCUCAGCCGUGGAAUUGCUUGGUAGACUGCAGAUCUUGAGGUCGGUAGGGGUCGCCGGAACUCUAGGUGGAGCGGUGAAAUGCGUAGAUAUCUAGAGGAACGCCAAAGGUGAAGACAGGCGACUGGGCCGAUUCUGACGCUGAGGCACGAAAGCGUGGGGAGCAAACGGG